UUAAGUUCAGCGGGUAUCCCUACCUGAUCCGAGGUCAACCUUUGAUAUAUGGGGUUUCUCAAAUGGCAAGCCAUGAACCCAUGAUUGCAAGCGGAAAGUUACUGGAGAGCUUUUACAACGCCACAAGCACGUGGGGACAAACCGCCUCUGAAUUUCGGUGGGGAGGUAAUUUAACAAGCGUAUACAUCGCCUCAUCCACC
rnacentral:misc_RNA from 1 species